rnacentral:rRNA from 1 species
AGCAGCCGCGGUAAUUCCAGCUCCAAUAGCGUAUAUUAAAGUUGUUGCAGUUAAAAAGCCGUAGUUGAAUUUCGGGAUCAAUGCGUCGGUCGUGCCUUCGGUACGUACUAGCGUCAUUAUUCCUCCCUUCUGAAGAACCGUGAUGUCAUUAAUUUGGUGUUACGGGGAAUCAGGACUUUACCUUGAAAAAAUUAGAGUGUUUAA